UACGUAGGGGGCUAGCGUUGUCCGGAAUCAUUGGGCGUAAAGCGCGUGUAGGCGGCCCGGUAAGUCCGCUGUGAAAGUCGGGGGCUCAACCCUCGAAAGCCGGUGGAUACUGUCGGGCUAGAGUACGGAAGAGGCGAGUGGAAUUCCUGGUGUAGCGGUGAAAUGCGCAGAUAUCGGGAGGAACACCAGUAGCGAAGGCGGCUCGCUGGGCCAUUCCUGACGCUGAGACGCGAAAGCUAGGGGAGCGAACAGG
rnacentral:rRNA from 1 species